GUACCACUCUAAACGUGCUAACAAACAGGGAAGGGGGCUCAAUAAUUCACCAAAUGUAACCAAAAGUUUAACCAAAAAAUCCUAGCUUGCACUUUCUUGCAGAUUUUCCUUGUCUUUCAUAUUUGCGUUUACUAUUGUGGAACUGGCAAAGACCUGGUGGUUGUUUGUGAAAG